rnacentral:rRNA from 1 species
GACGAACGCUGGCGGCGUGCUUAACACAUGCAAGUCGAACGGUGAAGCGCCUUCCUUUUUGGUGGGUGUGGAUGUGUGGCGAACGGGUGAGUAACACGUGAGUAACCUGCCCCCUUCUUCUGGAUAACCGCAUGAAAGUGUGGCUAAUACGGGAUAUUCUGGGUCUGUCGCAUGAUGGGUCUGGGAAAGAUAUUGUUUCGGUGGGGGAUGGGCUCGCGGCCUAUCAGCUUGUUGGUGGGGUGAUGGCCUACCAAGGCGGUGACGGGUAGCCGGCCUGAGAGGGUGGACGGUCACACUGGGACUGAGACACGGCCCAGACUCCUACGGGAGGCAGCAGUGGGGAAUAUUGCACAAUGGGCGCAAGCCUGAUGCAGCGACGCCGCGUGAGGGAUGGAGGCCUUCGGGUUGUGAACCUCUUUCGCCAGUGAAGCAGGCCUGCCUCGUUUGUGGGUGGGUUGACGGUAGCUGGAUAAGAAGCGCCGGCUAACUACGU